GAGUUUGAUCCUGGCUCAGGAUGAACGCUGGCGGCGUGCCUAACACAUGCAAGUCGAACGGACUCGGAUUGAAACCUAGUGAUUUCCGAGUUAGUGGCGGACGGGUGAGUAACGCGUGGAUAACCUGCCGUAUGCAGGGGGAUAACAGUUGGAAACAGCUGCUAAUACCGCAUAAGCGCACAAUACCGCAUGGUACUGUGUGAAAAGAUUUAUCGGCAUACGAUGGAUCCGCGUCCGAUUAGCCAGUUGGCGGGGUAACGGCCCACCAAAGCGACGAUCGGUAGCCGGCCUGAGAGGGUGGACGGCCACAUUGGGACUGAGACACGGCCCAAACUCCUACGGGAGGCAGCAGUGGGGAAUAUUGCACAAUGGGGGAAACCCUGAUGCAGCGACGCCGCGUGAGUGAAGAAGUAUCUCGGUAUGUAAAGCUCUAUCAGCAGGGAAGAAAAUGACGGUACCUGACUAAGAAGCCCCGGCUAACUACGUGCCAGCAGCCGCGGUAAUACGUAGGGGGCAAGCGUUAUCCGGAUUUACUGGGUGUAAAGGGAGCGUAGACGGCGCUGCAAGUCCGGAGUGAAAGCCCAUGGCUUAACCAUGGUACUGCUCUGGAAACUGUGGAGCUUGAGUGCGGGAGGGGCAGGCGGAAUUCCUAGUGUAGCGGUGAAAUGCGUAGAUAUUAGGAGGAACACCGGCGGCGAAGGCGGCCUGCUGGACCGUAACUGACGUUGAGGCUCGAAAGCGUGGGGAGCAAACAGGAUUAGAUACCCUGGUAGUCCACGCCGUAAACGAUGAUUACCAGGUGUCGCGGUACGAAGUACUGCGGUGCCGGCGCAAACGCAAUAAGUAAUCCACCUGGGGAGUACGUUCGCAAGAAUGAAACUCAAAGGAAUUGACGG
rnacentral:rRNA from 1 species